UUCAGAGGAAUUUGCUCUUUAAUGGAUAAAACACCAAAAUCUUACUUAAAUUUGUUACUUCAAUUUGUAUACCACUAUAAAAACAAUUUAUAACUUUAAUUGUUUAAAUUUAUUAAAUUAAAAUAUAUUAAGUCAAGGUGCAGUAAAAAUUUAAGAAUGAAGUGAAUUACAUUACUUUUUAGUGAAAAAAAAAAUUAUAAUAACACUUAGGAUUUGAAAGUAAAUUUGAAAUAGGAUGUCAAUUUGAAUCAAGCUCUAAAAUAUGUACACAUCGCC
rnacentral:rRNA from 1 species